CAGACAGGCUCAGCACAGUCUCUGGAGAAGGCUAACCUAGCUAACAGACUGCAGCAGCUGCCUUUAAAUUCCCAUGGAGGUACAACUAAAGCUGUUUUCUCCUUCAGCAGAGGCAAAGACAUGUUCCCAGGCACUUGGCAAUCUUAUGAGUUUCUAACCUGGAGCUGUCUCUCCCUGACUCUGAUAGUUCAUUGGGAAUCAAUGGAGUAUUUUCCCCUUUGCUAGAGCACGGAUUUCCAGAAAAUGAAACCAUUGGUAUGCUAAAGAAGAGUUCCCACAUUCCAGAAGCAGUGAGGACUAUUCCUCUUUCCUAUAGGGAAUGAAGCCCACGAUGCCUUCACCUGUGCUUCCAAGCAGAAGGUGCUGCCUGGGGACUGUGCUGUGGCUCUGAUGUUGGGGGACUCUGCACUGAGGGACAGAAAGUGGGAUCCAUCUCUGC